GACGAACGCUGGCGGCGUGCUUAACACAUGCAAGUCGAACGGAAAGGCCCUGCUUUUGUGGGGUGCUCGAGUGGCGAACGGGUGAGUAACACGUGAGUAACCUGCCCUUGACUUUGGGAUAACUUCAGGAAACUGGGCUUAUUCCCGGAUAGGACCUCUGCCUGCUGGGUGGGGGUGGGAAAGUUUCGGCGGUUGGGGAUGGACUCGCGGCUUAUCAGCUUGUUGGUGGGGUAGUGGCUUACCAAGGCUUUGACGGGUAGCCGGCCUGAGAGGGUGACCGGCCACAUUGGGACUGAGAUACGGCCCAGACUCCUACGGGAGGCAGCAGUGGGGAAUAUUGCACAAUGGGCGGAAGCCUGAUGCAGCAACGCCGCGUGCGGGAUGACGGCCUUCGGGUUGUAAACCGCUUUCGCCUGUGACGAAGCGUGAGUGACGGUAAUGGGUAAAGAAGCACCGGCUAACUACGUG
rnacentral:rRNA from 1 species